AUACGGAGGAUACGAGCGUUAUCCGGAUUUAUUGGGUUUAAAGGGUGCGCAGGCGGACCGGUAAGUCAUGGGUGAAAAGCUGCAGCUUAACUGUAGUCGUGCCUAUGAUACUGCCGGACUGGAGUUGAAGGGGUGUAACUGGAAUGUGAUGUGUAGCGGUGGAAUGCAUAGAUAUGUCACAGAACGCCGAUCGUGAAGACAGGUUACAAACUUCAUACUGACGCUCAUGCACGAAAGCGUGGGUAUCAAACAGGAUUAGAUACCCUGGUAGUCCACGCUGUAAACGAUGAUCACUCGUUGUUGGGCGGCGACGUUCAGCGGCCAAGCGAAAGCGAUAAGUGAUCCACCUGGGGAGUACGAUCGCAAGGUUGAAACUCAAAUGAAUUGACGGGG
rnacentral:rRNA from 1 species